rnacentral:rRNA from 1 species
UUUAAAGAGAGUUUGAUCCUGGCUCAGGACGAACGCUGGCGGCGUGCCUAAUACAUGCAAGUCGAACGAACGGAGGAAGAGCUUGCUCUUCCAAAGUUAGUGGCGGACGGGUGAGUAACACGUGGGCAACCUGCCUGUAAGUUGGGGAUAACUCCGGGAAACCGGGGCUAAUACCGAAUGAUAGAAUGUGGCGCAUGCCACGCUUUUGAAAGAUGGUUUCGGCUAUCGCUUACAGAUGGGCCCGCGGUGCAUUAGCUAGUUGGUAGGGUAAUGGCCUACCAAGGCAACGAUGCAUAGCCGACCUGAGAGGGUGAUCGGCCACACUGGGACUGAGACACGGCCCAGACUCCUACGGGAGGCAGCAGUAGGGAAUCUUCCGCAAUGGACGAAAGUCUGACGGAGCAACGCCGCGUGUAUGAAGAAGGUUUUCGGAUCGUAAAGUACUGUUGUUAGAGAAGAACAAGGAUAAGAGUAACUGCUUGUCCCUUGACGGUAUCUAACCAGAAAGCCACGGCUAACUACGUGCCAGCAGCCGCGGUA